GGAAUUUGAAACAAGGAAACCUGUCAUGACCUGGUCCUCAUGUAUCUGCCAUUUAGAGGUGAAGGCAGAAUGCAGUCCUGACUUCCUCACAUCUGGGUGCAGCAAUGAUUCUCCAAGGAACAAGAAGCAACCUUUGGUAGUUACCUCCAGGACUUAUCCAGCAGUAAUGCCAUAUUUGGACAUAAACUCAGUGGGACCAAUGUUAUGUAGGAAUGUUUCUCUUUUGGAUCCCUAGGCAGCAAGGGACCUGGGGAGAAGAUUUCUCCUUUCCCUCCAUAGUCAAG